rnacentral:rRNA from 1 species
CAGCGGCGGACGGGUGAGUAACACGUGGGCAACCUGCCUGUAAGACUGGGAUAACUUCGGGAAACCGGAGCUAAUACCGGAUAAUCCUUUCCCUCACAUGAGGGAAAGCUGAAAGACGGUUUCGGCUGUCACUUACAGAUGGGCCCGCGGCGCAUUAGCUAGUUGGUGAGGUAACGGCUCACCAAGGCAACGAUGCGUAGCCGACCUGAGAGGGUGAUCGGCCACACUGGGACUGAGACACGGCCCAGACUCCUACGGGAGGCAGCAGUAGGGAAUCUUCCGCAAUGGACGAAAGUCUGACGGAGCAACGCCGCGUGAGCGAUGAAGGCCUUCGGGUCGUAAAGCUCUGUUGUCAGGGAAGAACAAGUACCGGAGUAACUGCCGGUACCUUGACGGUACCUGACCAGAAAGCCACGGCUAACUACGUGCCAGCAGCCGCGGUAAUACGUAGGUGGCAAGCGUUGUCCGGAAUUAUUGGGCGUAAAGCGCGCGCAGGCGGUUCCUUAAGUCUGAUGUGAAAGCCCCCGGCUCAACCGGGGAGGGUCAUUGGAAACUGGGGAACUUGAGUGCAGAAGAGGAGAGCGGAAUUCCACGUGUAGCGGUGAAAUGCGUAGAGAUGUGGAGGAACACCAGUGGCGAAGGCGGCUCUCUGGUCUGUAACUGACGCUGAGGCGCGAAAGCGUGGGGAGCGAACAGGAUUAGAUACCCUGGUAGUCCACGCCGUAAACGAUGAGUGCUAAGUGUUAGAGGGUUUCCGCCCUUUAGUGCUGCAGCAAACGCAUUAAGCACUCCGCCUGGGGAGUACGGCCGCAAGGCUGAAACUCAAAGGAAUUGACGGGGGCCCGCACAAGCGGUGGAGCAUGUGGUUUAAUUCGAAGCAACGCGAAGAACCUUACCAGGUCUUGACAUCCUCUGACAACCCUAGAGAUAGGGCUUUCCCCUUCGGGGGACAGAGUGACAGGUGGUGCAUGGUUGUCGUCAGCUCGUGUCGUGAGAUGUUGGGUUAAGUCCCGCAACGAGCGCAACCCUUGAUCUUAGUUGCCAGCAUUAAGUUGGGCACUCUAAGGUGACUGCCGGUGACAAACCGGAGGAAGGUGGGGAUGACGUCAAAUCAUCAUGCCCCUUAUGACCUGGGCUACACACGUGCUACAAUGGAUGGAACAAAGGGCAGCGAAGCCGCGAGGUGAAGCCAAUCCCAUAAAACCAUUCUCAGUUCGGAUUGCAGGCUGCAACUCGCCUGCAUGAAGCCGGAAUCGCUAGUAAUCGCGGAUCAGCAUGCCGCGGUGAAUACGUUCCCGGGCCUUGUACACACCGCCCGUCACACCACGAGAGUUUGUAACACCCGAAGUCGGUGGGGUA